GAUCUUGACCUAGUGGUUAAGGCAUCCAAGUAGCACUUUUAAGGUCCUGGGUUCGAUUCUCGGUGGGAGCG